UACGAAGGGGGCUAGCGUUGUUCGGAAUUACUGGGCGUAAAGCGUGCGCAGGCGGUCUGCUAAGACUGAUGUGAAAUCCCCGGGCUUAACCUGGGAACUGCGUUUCUAACUGGCAGGCUUGAGUGUGGCAGAGGGGGGUGGAAUUCCACGUGUAGCAGUGAAAUGCGUAGAGAUGUGGAGGAACACCGAUGGCGAAGGCAGCCCCCUGGGCUAACACUGACGCUCAUGCACGAAAGCGUGGGGAGCAAACAGG
rnacentral:rRNA from 1 species